rnacentral:lncRNA from 1 species
GGAGAAUCGCUUGAACCUGGGAGGCGGAGUUUGCAGUGAGAUGAGAUGGAGCCAUUGCUCUCCAGCCUGGGCUACAGAGCAAGACUCUGUCUCAAAACAAAACAAAACAAAACAAAACAAAAAGAUGAGCAACUUGAAUUAUGGAGGACACUAGAAAUAGUGUUUCCUACAGAAUCAGGGCUUCCUACCAACAUAGUCACUUCUAGGGUUUUCGACCUGAAAAGUUCUGUGGCAUAUUGUUUCUUUGCUAUCCACUUUUUUUUCCCUAUUUUUCCCCCUCUUUCUCUCCUCUACUUUAUCUCCUAGAGAUCUAGGUAGUUCCCAAAGGAAUAAUGCUUUACGGAGUCUAAUGUUGAUUUAUUAGGUAAAAACAGAAAAUGACUUUUUUUUUUACCCACAAGUUCCAUACCAAAAAAUGAAUGUAAACUUCUUAUGCAGUUUCACACAUUGAAAAUGCAGGUUAUUUUAAUUCCAUUGCAUUUUUCAGAAUUCUCAAUCGCAAUCCUCUGACAACUGUUGAAGAUCCGUAUCUCUUUAAAUUACUGGCAUUAAAAUAUCUAGACGUGGGAACAACGCAAGUCCCACUUACAACACUUAAGAACAUUCUCAUGAUGACCGUUGAACUGGAAAAACUGCUGUAGUUCCUUACUGAAUAUUGGUUGAAGACUUCAUUGGCUUACUACCUGGACUUCUCCAUAGACUGCUUGAAUGUCCUCCCCACAUAGCUAGAGUGAAUGACUAAAAAAGAGAGAGAACACACACAGCCCAGCCCCAGCAGACCACAGGAGGUUGGCCCCAGACUCACUGAGUGCCUGCAGCAGCCCUACAGACACAGCAUCCUUGGCCACCUCAUGCCCAU